rnacentral:rRNA from 1 species
CGGGUAGCUGCAUGCAAGCGUCGAUCCGGGGAUGCCCGAAUGGGACCUCCCGCCGCGUUUAAACCGCGGCACUCCCUCUGGGAGAGGUAACCCUCCGAACGGAAGCAUCCAAGUAGGAGGAGGAAGAGAAACCAAUAGGGAUUCCCUGAGUAGCGGCGAGCGAAAUGGGAGCAGCCUAAACCGAACGCGCGUAGGCGACUACGCGUGGAUGUGGUGUAGAAGGGUCCAGCCGCGCCUCAAACCUGAAGUCGAAGUGGCCUGGAACGGCCCGCCACAGAGGGUGAUAGCCCCGUAAACGUAAGGGGGAGAGGUUUGGGCUGGGAUCCCUGAGUACUACGCCUUGGUUCAGGCGUAGGAAACUGGGAGAAAGCAACUUCCAAGGCUAAAUACGUCCCAAGACCGAUAGCGCACUAGUACCGUGAGGGAAAGCUGAAAAGCACCCCGGAAGGGGGGUGAAAAGUGCCUGAAAUCAGGCGGUUACAGACGUGUACGGUCUAGAAGGGUAGAUCCCCUCCAAAGGAGGCCGUGGCGACACGGCGCUACGAGGAGGGGGGACCAGGAUCGUACGCUCCGUUUUGUACCACGGGCCGGGGAGUUCACCUCCGUGGUGAGGUUAAGGGCCUGCAAGCCCGAAGCCGCAGGGAAACCGACUGUCCGCAGCGUUGAGCGUGAUGAAACGCGAGGGACGGGAUCUGAAAGGGUCCGGAAUCAUGGGGGUGAAGCUAGAAACCGAGCGAUCUAGCCCGAGGCAGGGUGAAGCCGGGCGAAAGCCCGGUGGAGGCCCGAACGGGUGUUGACGUGCAGUUCGCUCCGUUGACCCUGGGCUAGGGGCAAAAGACCAAUCUAGCUCGGUGAUAGCUAGUUCCCGCCGAAAUAUCUCGCAGGAUAGCCCAGCUGGAGGCGGCCGACGGGGUAGAGCACCGAUUGGAAAGCAAGGAGUCGAAAGGCUCCACUUUCCAUUCGAACUCCGAAUCCGCCGGCGCCGUAGAAGGCUGGAGACGGGCCUGGGGGGUAAGCUCCUAGGUCGCGAGGGGAACAACCCAAACUGGGGUUAAGGCCCCUAAAUCCCGGUUAAGUGCAGAAAUUGAAGGUUGUCCCCAACCAUAGACAGCUGGGAGGUAGGCUUAGAAGCAGCCAUCCUCUAAGCAGUGCGUAACAGCUGACCAGCCGAGGUUGGGGGCGCCGAAAAUGGACGGGGCUAAGCUAGGUACCGAUACCUUGGAACACAGCCUCUGGCUGUGUUGGUAGGCGGGCGUUGUGGUCGGGCGGAAGCUGGGCCGUGAGGUCCAGUGGACCGGUCACAAGUGCAGAUCCCGGCGGAAGUAACAGCGAAGAGGAGUGGGAAUCUCCUCCGUCGAAGAGGGCAAGGGUUCCCCGGCAAUGCGUCGUCAGCCGGGGGUAAGUCGAUCCUAAGGGAUGCCCUAACCGAGCAUCCCGAAAGGGAAACCGGUUAAGAUUCCGGUACCACGAAGAUACGUGCGGCAACGCAGGUCCGCAGCCUGACGCUUCAGGAUAGGCUGAGUGGGGCCGUCGCCCCAUUUAACCUCUGAAACCCAGGGAGAACCGUAAUGGUGAGAACUGGGUGAAGGAGGGAAUAGCCGCCCGUUUAGGGUGGUUCAGUCGAUUCCUGGAGCCAAUGAAAAAGGUUGCGGAAAGGAUUCUUCGUGCUCGUACCCAGAACCGACACAGGUGCCCUAGGUGAGAAGCCUCAGACGUAUCGGGUCCAACUCAGGGCGAGGGAACUCGGCAAAUUAGCCCCGUAACUUAGGGAUAAGGGGUGCCUGAAACCUUGGCUUAAGCCGGGGUUUCAGGUCGCAGUGACAAGGGGGAUGCGACUGUUUAAUAAAAACAUAGGUGGCCGCAAGCCCGAAAGGGUGUGUACGGCCGUUGAGUCCUGGCCAGUGGUGGUACCUAAAACUCGGGUCCAACCGAGCUAAGGGCCACUAAACGCCGGGAGUAACUCUGACUCUCUUAAGGUAGCCAAAUGCCUUGUCGUGUAAGUUACGACGUGCAUGAAUGGACCAACGACAUCCCCACUGUCCCCGCCUGGGGCCCGGUGAACCCACAUAACUUGGACGAACAGUCCAGGAUCUCCCAGCGGGGCGAAAAGUCCCCGUGGAAUUUUACUGCAGCUUGCUGCUGGGAUGCGGCUGCGGGUACAGAGGGUAGGUGGGAGCCUACGAGCCAUCCCCUCCGGGGGAUGGGGAGGCGACGAUGUAACACCACCUAUCCGUGGCUGUAUCCCUUACCAGAGGAUACUCUGGAACAACGGCAGGUGGGCAGUUUGGCUGGGGCGGCACCCCCUUGAAAAGAUAUCGAGGGGGCCCAAAGCUCGACUCAUCCGGGACAGAACUCCGGAGUAGAGGGCAAGACCAAAAGUCGGGCUGACUGGAUCCUCCACAGCAAGGGAUCCAGAGGCGAAAGCCGGGUCUAGCGAUCAUUCAUGUCCCCAUUGUUGGGGGCUGGAUGUGACAGAAAAACUACCCCGGGAGUAAUUGGCUCGUCUCCUCCGAGAGUCCCCAUCGACGAGGAGGAUUGGUUCUCCGUCGUCGUCCCUUCCCAUCCUGGGUCCGCAGCAGGGCCCAAGGGCGCGGCUGUUCGCCGAUCAAAGGGGAAUGCGAGAUGGGUUUAGACCGUCGCGAGACAGGUCGGAUUCUACCUGCUGGGAGUGCUGGUCGCCUGAGGGGAAGGCGCCCCUAGUACGAGAGGAACGGGGUAUCGUAGCCUCUAGUUUACCGGUUGUCCGACAGGGCAGUGCCGGGCAGCCACGCUGCCGAGGAUAAGGGCUGAAAGCAUCUAAGCCCGAAACCUCUCCCGAAAAUAGGCGGCCAAUCCAAACCAUCUAGGUUCUGGCGACAGAGCCACAGGUUUGGACGAGAGCUCUCAAAGAAGAUGAGGUUGAUGGAGCAGGGGUGUAAGCGUCAAGGCUUCGGCCGAGACGUUCAGCCCGCUGCCCCCAAUCGCUCAAGGUGCCAAGCCU